CGCUUGCGGGGGGAUUAGUGGCGAACGGGUGAGUAACACGUGAGUAACCUGCCCUUAACUCUGGGAUAAGCCUUGGAAACGAGGUCUAAUACUGGAUAUUGACUUUACCUCGCAUGGGGUUUUGUUGAAAGAUUUAUUGGUUUUGGAUGGACUCGCGGCCUAUCAGCUUGUUGGUGAGGUAAUGGCUCACCAAGGCGACGACGGGUAGCCGGCCUGAGAGGGUGACCGGCCACACUGGGACUGAGACACGGCCCAGACUCCUACGGGAGGCAGCAGUGGGGAAUAUUGCACAAUGGGCGAAAGCCUGAUGCAGCGACGCCGCGUGAGGGAUGACGGCCUUCGGGUUGUAAACCUCUUUCAGUAGGGAACAAGGCCAGCAUUUUUGUUGGUUGAGGGUACUUGCAGAAGAAGCGCCGGCUAACUACGUGCCAGCAGCCGCGGUGAUACGUAGGGCGCAAGCGUUAUCCGGAAUUAUUGGGCGUAAAGAGCUCGUAGGCGGUUUGUCGCGUCUGCCGUGAAAGUCCGGGGCUCAACCCCGGAUCUGCGGUGGGUACGGGCAGACUAGAGUGAUGUAGGGGAGACUGGAAUUCCUGGUGUAGCGGUGAAAUGCGCAGAUAUCAGGAGGAACACCGAUGGCGAAGGCAGGUCUCUGGGCAUUAACUGACGCUGAGGAGCGAAAGCAUGGGGAGCGAACAGGAUUAGAUACCCUGGUAGUCCAUGCCGUAAACGUUGGGCACUAGGUGUGGGGGACAUUCCACGUUUUCCGCGCCGUAGCUAACGCAUUAAGUGCCCCGCCUGGGGAGUACGGCCGCAAGGCUAAAACUCAAAGGAAUUGACGGGGGCCCGCACAAGCGGCGGAGCAUGCGGAUUAAUUCGAUGCAACGCGAAGAACCUUACCAAGGCUUGACAUGAACUGGAAAUACCUGGAAACAGGUGCCCCGCUUGCGGUCGGUUUACAGGUGGUGCAUGGUUGUCGUCAGCUCGUGUCGUGAGAUGUUGGGUUAAGUCCCGCAACGAGCGCAACCCUCGUUCUAUGUUGCCAGCACGUUAUGGUGGGGACUCAUAGGAGACUGCCGGGGUCAACUCGGAGGAAGGUGAGGACGACGUCAAAUCAUCAUGCCCCUUAUGUCUUGGGCUUCACGCAUGCUACAAUGGCCGGUACAAUGGGUUGCGAUACUGUGAGGUGGAGCUAAUCCCAAAAAGCCGGUCUCAGUUCGGAUUGGGGUCUGCAACUCGACCCCAUGAAGUCGGAGUCGCUAGUAAUCGCAGAUCAGCAACGCUGCGGUGAAUACGUUCCCGGGCCUUGUACACACCGCCCGUCAAGUCACGAAAGUUGGUAACACCCGAAGCCGGUGGCCUAA
rnacentral:rRNA from 1 species